rnacentral:rRNA from 1 species
UACGUAGGGGGCAAGCGUUGUCCGGAAUUAUUGGGCGUAAAGAGCUCGUAGGCGGUCUGUCGCGUCGAAUGUGAAAACCCGGGGCUCAACCCCGGGCCUGCAUUCGAUACGGGCAGACUAGAGUUCGGUAGGGGAGUCUGGAAUUCCUGGUGUAGCGGUGAAAUGCGCAGAUAUCAGGAGGAACACCGGUGGCGAAGGCGGGACUCUGGGCCGAUACUGACGCUGAGGAGCGAAAGCGUGGGGAGCAAACAGG